rnacentral:rRNA from 1 species
CCUACGGGUGGCUGCAGUCGAGAAUCAUUCACAAUGGGGGAAACCCUGAUGGUGCGACGCCGCGUGGGGGAAUGAAGGUCUUCGGAUUGUAAACCCCUGUCAUGUGGGAGCAAAUUAAAAAGAUAGUACCACAAGAGGAAGAGACGGCUAACUCUGUGCCAGCAGCCGCGGUAAUACAGAGGUCUCAAGCGUUGUUCGGAAUCACUGGGCGUAAAGCGUGCGUAGGCUGUUUCGUAAGUCGUGUGUGAAAGGCGCGGGCUCAACCCGCGGACGGCACAUGAUACUGCGAGACUAGAGUAAGGGAGAGGGAGCCGGAAUUCUCGGUGUAGCAGUGAAAUGCGUAGAUAUCGAGAGGAACCCUCGUGGCGAAGGCGGGUUCCUGGACAUUAACUGACGCUGAGGCACGAAGGCCAGGGGAGCGAAAGGGAUUAGAUACCCCGGUAGUC